rnacentral:rRNA from 1 species
GACGAACGCUGGCGGCGUGCCUAAUACAUGCAAGUCGAACGCAGUGGGGACGGGUGAGUAACACGUGGGUAACCUCCCAUCAGAGGGGAUAACACUUGGAAACAGGUGCUAAACCGAUACUGAUGGAUGGACCCGCGGUGCAUUUGCUAGUUGGUGAGGUAACGGCGCACCAAGGCCCAGAUGCCUAGCCGAACCGAUGGGGGGAUUGGGCACAAUGGGAAGUAGAAACGGCCCAGACUCCUACGGGAGGCAGCAGUAGGGAAUCUUCGGCAAUGGACGAAAGUCUGACCGAGCAACGCCGCGUGAGUGAAGAAGGUUUUCGGAUCGUAAAACUCUGUUGUUAGAGAAGCGGUAUCUAACCAGAAAGCCACGGCUAACUACGUGCCAGCAGCCGCGGUAAUUC